GCCUGGUUGGUUCAAUUGGUAGAACAUGUGACUCAUGAUCUCAGGGUCGUGAGUUUGAGUCCCAUGUUGGGUG
rnacentral:tRNA from 1 species